UACGAAGGGGGCGAGCGUUGUUCGGAUUUACUGGGCGUAAAGGGCGCGCAGGCGGCUUUGUUUGUCAGGCGUGAAAGCCCCGGGCUUACCACGUGGAACCGCGCUUGAGACUGGCAUGCUCGAGUUCGGGAGAGGAUGGUGGAAUUCCCAGUGUAGAGGUGAAAUUCGUAGAUAUUGGGAAGAACACCGAUGGCGAAGGCAGCCAUCUGGACCGACACUGACGCUGAGGCGCGAAAGCGUGGGGAGCAAACAGG
rnacentral:rRNA from 1 species